rnacentral:lncRNA from 1 species
CUUCGCUAGGUGUGACGAAGUGUUUUUGUAAGUUUUUAGGAAAAUUGUGGGUAACAGGGGAAAUAUUUGAUAAUGGCUUAAAUAGUUUUGAGAAUUAUUUUAGACCGAAAAUAUUAAAUGGUUUAAUAAGCUCUUUUGUCUUGCGUCUAAAUUAUAUCUGCUGUCAUUUUGGCCCACAGCCAACCUGUCAUCUCUGUAUAGGCCAUCGUUUAUAAUGAUAUAGCACUUUAGCACACUUAGGAUAUAAUAAUCCCACACAAUAACAAAUCUCCGCUUUGUCAUACUCCCACAUACUUACAACAAAAGAACUCACUGUGUUUAAUUUUUAGACGAGCUGAUUUGUUUUUGCUCUUGUCUUGUUUCAUAAUUUAGGAAUUUUCCAGUAUGUAACAUGAUCCCUCUUUCAUGGCCCAGUGGUUAGGGCAGCGGACUCGCGGUCGUAGGAUCGCGGUUUCGAUUCCCAGACCGGGCGUUGUAAGUGUUUAUUGAGCGAAAACACCUAAAACUCCACGAGACUCCGGCAGGGUGUGGUGGUGAUCCCUGCUGUACUCUUUCACCACAACUUUCUCUCACUCUUACUUCCUGUUUCUGUUGUACCUGUAUUUCAAAGGGCCGGCCUUGUCACUCUCCGUGUCACGCUGAAUAUCCCCGAGAACUACGUUAAGGGUACACGUGCCUGUGGAGUGCUCAGCCACUUACACGUUAAUUUCACGAGCAGGCUGUUCUGUUGAUCGGAUCAACCGGAACCCUCGUCGUCGUAACCAUCCAUUCUAUAAUAAAAUUUACUGAAUCUAAAUAUGCUAUUUAAAAGGGUUUAGAUAUUGAGGGACAAAUCCCACAAUAUCAAAUCGCAUUAAUCUGAAAUUAAAUACAUUAUUAAUAUUGUUAAAUCAACUAAUGAAAUAGUAGCUGUACCACCACAGAAGUUAGUAAAGUGAAUUAUUUGAUAAAUGUUUAAUUAGUGGCUUAGUUGAGAGGAACGCCCAGAGUAUCCUGUAUAUUUUGUAAGAACUUGUCUUAUUCCUCUCUCUUUCUCUCUCUCUCUCUCUCUCUCUUUGUGCAUGUAUAUACAUACAUACAUAUAUAUAUAUAUAUAUAUAUAUAUAUAUAUAUAUAUAUAUUAUAUAUAUAUAUAUAUAUAUAUAUAUAUAUAUAUAUAUAUGAGCGAAUGAACAGACUAUCGGAAGUAGCAGUUAGCACAUACAGUUGAAAUUGUAUUUAUUAACAGGUUAAUUAAUCUCCUCUUGUUACUUAAAGAUUCGUGAACCUUGAAAUAUAAGACUAUCUCCUCGGACACACGGACGGACACGCACAUACAUGUUUAUAUGUAUAUCUGCUUGAGGUCGGGACCCGAUAGCUAUUAUGCUACUAAUAUUACGUCUUUAAUGGUUAAAAACAAAUGGUAAUUAGGGCUGAUAAAAUGCAGUUCACCGUAGGAGUAAAUUCUCGAAAAUUCUAAACCAACCAACUGGUAUUUGCAUAAACCCAACUGGUUUAUACAAAUAAUAAGAUGGUAGUUUACAAAUUACAUUCUUAUUAAUAAUGUUGUAAUUAUAAGGUAUGUAAUUCAGUUUAGCAUGAAAGAACAAAGAAGAGACUUUUUAUAUAUUUUAUUAGUAGUGACAUGAAUGCAAACAUUUUUUUUAGAGUGCGACAUGAAUAAAAAUCCACAGAAAUAUUCUAAAAUAUUGUGAAUAUUUUGUUUUUAACUCCUUCAACUUUUAUACCAAGUAGACCUUAAAAUUUUCCAAGGACUCGAAAAGCAUAAUUCUUUACUUAUACCAUAAUACAUUUUACUUUUGAAAAAAAUAUCAGUGGCAGAGCAUCGUCGAUAAUUCUUCUCCAAUUUAUAAUAUACUCUUUUGUAAUUCAUCAGAUAAUACUUGCAACAAAGUCUCUAAGGAUUAUUAGUAGAUUUGUUUCUAACAACUAAAUAACAAUAUAAACAUUUUCCUCAAUAUAAUAUUCUCCAUCAGAGAAUGUUAAGCAAAACUGAACAAGACAGAAGGGUGUGAUUUAUUAGCAAUAUAAUUUGAGAAUUGAAAGCGGUGAACUGGCAGAAUCAUUAGCACGCCAGGCAAAAUGCUUAGCGGUAUUUCGUCUGCCGUUACGUGCUGAGUUCAAAUUCCGCCGAGGUCAACUUUGCCUCUCAUCCUUUCGGGGUCGAUAAAUUAAGUACCAGUUACGCACUGGGGUCGAUAUAAUCGACUUAAUCUAUUUAUCUGUCCUUGUUUGUCCUCUUUGUGUUUAGCCCCUUGUGGGUAGUAAAGAAAUAGAAAUAGGUAUUUCGUCUGCCGCUACGUUCUGAGUUCAAAUUCUGCCGAGGUCAACCUUGCCUGUUAUCCCUUUGGGGAUGAUAAGUUAAGUACCAGUUGAGCACUGGGGUCGAUUCAAUCGACUUAACCCCAAAAUGUCUAGCCUUGUACCAAAAUUUGAAAGCAAUAUACUUUGCAAAUUGCGUGUGAUUUGUUUUGAGAGUUCAUCAAAUUCUGCAGCAAACAAAUUCAAGAUUCAUUCAUGUGCGGCAACACAAGAUUUGCUCAUACUCUUCAAUUUACCUUAUUGUCUCUGUAUCAUAGAAAUAACAUUUCAAUCGUUCCGGCUAUACACAUAUUGUAGUGUAAGCCUGUUCUCAUAAUUUUGCAUGCUUUGUCUAUAAACUCUUCCCAAACAAGUUUCCAUAAGGUUCUCUAAACCGAGUUUAAAAUACUUGAUUGCUUUUGCGAUAUGCAUUUUCUACGAGGCAUUGAAACAAUAUAUAUUUCUUUACUACCCACAAGGGGCUAAACAUAGAGAGGACAAACAAAGGGAAUAAGUCGAUUACAUUGACCCCAGUGCGUAACUGGUACUUAAUUUAUCGACCCCGAAAGGAUGAAAGGCAAAGUCGACCUCAACGGCAUUUGAACUCAGAACGUAACGGCAGACAAAAUAUGGCUACGCAUUUCGCCCGGCGUGCUAACGUUUCUGCCAGCUCGCCGUCUUAUCCCUUAUAUACUUUUGAUUUUUAAAUGAAUAUAAUAUAAUCUCUAGAAAGCAAAACCUGCCUAGUUGUCUUCGAUUAUUGUACUGUUUCUUUUACUCUCUCUCUUUGACUUCCUUAACAUUUUUUAUGAAAUUUAACUCUACCAAUUCAAUUUAAUUACGCUUAAUCGUAGCAAACACAUUUUAUAUUUUACACUUCCAUUUAAAGAAUCUCUUUAUGAAACUUGGAUAAAUCAAGGAAACAUUAUUCCAUAAUACUGUUGCAAAAUUUCAUUCAAUUGUAGCUUGUGACAUGAGUAAAUGGCGUAAAUGAAUACAAUUUUACGCACAUGGGUAUAAGGAUAAUAUAUUUUAAGAACCCAAGAAAACAUUCAGUGUCACACUGAACAAUUUAUAAAAGAGAAAAUAUCACUUUAUACAUAUAAAAGUCAUUUUGUCAUAUAACAAGCCUAUAGUAGAUAAUAACAAUUUGUGACAUAUGGAAAGUAUAGUCUCUAUUAAAACCUAAAGGACACUAUAUCUGUUUGUAUCGUCAUAAGUUGUUACCAGAUGAGCUAAAUGCAGAAAGCGAAAACUAUUUCUUGCAUCACGGUUUUUGACUCAAUUAACCUAGAGUAGAUUAGGCACUGCCGAGGCCGACUGUGCCUUUCAUCCUUUCGGGGUCGAUAAAUUAAGUACCAGUUACGCACUGGGGUCGAUGUAAUCGACUUAACUCGUUUUUUCUGUCCUUGCUUGUCCCCUCUAUGUUUAGCCCCUUGUGGGUAGUAAAGAAAUAUAUACUCUAACUGCAUGAUUUUCUGUAAACAGACGGCCAUUUUCAGUACCAUUGAUGAUUAGCGUCGAAAGAACCUAGGAUUCAGAUGAUUAUGGUAAAGCAGACGAUUGAUUAACUUUAACAGCUAAGAAAUGAAACGGCGAAUCCGAAGGUCUCCAUAAACUUCCUGUCUACUAAAUUUAGCUCCCAUACUUUUGGCAGACUCUAUGCUAUGGCAGAAAACAUUUUCCCAUGGUAGUGUAUAGUGAUAUUGAACCUGAAACUGCGUCUUCCUUUACAUUUUCAAGAUAUAACAGAAACUAUAAAAAUUUGCUGUGAUUACAGUUAAAACAUACCAAUCGAAAAAAAAGAAUUAACGUAUAUUAUAUAUAACGUAUAUAAAGAGAAAAAGUGAAGUAAUGCAGAAAUAAAUAGAGGACAGAACAACAACCUUAUAUAGUCAAAGUAUUGGUGUCUGUGUGUGUGGAGGGGAGGGCAAGCUUCUGCCACAAUAUAUAUUACAUAAAAAUACAUAUGCAUAUGUAGAUGCAUGUAUGUUUGUAUAAAGGGUAAAAACACCUUCGGUCACCAAUGCCCGUGUGAUUCCACCAAGAAAGUUCUCCGAGGCACAAGUACGGGCAGGAUUGUUUGUGGAAGAGACGCAGUCGGUCAUGCACAUCAGUUUCCCCUCUCCACACCACUGAUGUUACCCAAGGGAAAGGCAAAGACCGAUAUAGUUUGGCACCAGCUGAGUGAACUGGAGCAACGUGAAAUACACUGACCUGUUGAAAAACGCAACAGAACCCAAUCCAAGUUCAAAACUCACCACACGAUUGUAAGUCCGAUUCUCUAACAACUGAGCCAUGCUCAUUCAAGUCUGUAAACACACGCGCAAAAAAGCAUAUAUUGCAUUCGUCUCUAUGCCUGUGUGCAUAUAUAUGUAUCUCGAUACGUAUAUGACAUAUAUAUAUAUAUAUAUAUAUAUAUAAUAAAAUAUUAGGGAAUAAAUCCAAACUUACAUGGAAAAAUCAGAUUUAGGAUUGAAUCCAAUUUUAUAGUAAAAUAUUAUAUUAUAUUAAAUUAGAGAUAAAACCACUAUUAGGCAAAUCAAACAAUGAAAACUUAAGCCAAUACAUAAAAUUAAUUAAUUUAUAUUAUUUUAAAUAUAUAUCAAAAGUAUUAAAAGUUUAAUAAAAGAUAAUGAGUAAAACACUACGAUCGUUUCAUGGCUGUCCAAUUCGUAAUAUUUCGAGUUAUGGUUACAGUCAAUCUUCAGGUAAUUGAAAUAUUUAUCUUAGCGAGGUUUAGCAAUGAACUUUUAAUACUUUUGAGAUAUAUUUAAAAUAAUAUAAAUGAAUUAAUUUUAUGUAUUGGCUUAAGUUCUUCAUUGUUUGAUCUGCCUAAUAGUGGCACCAGCUGAGUGAACUGGAGCAACGUGAUCUCUAAUUUAAUAUAAUAUAUAUAUAUAUAUAUAUAUAUAUAUAUAUAUAUAUACAUAUGCGCCCUUUUCAAGCCUAUCCAGGCUCAUGGGUCCGGUUUAGCGGUUUCUAUAGCGUAUGUGUUCCCCCCAGCAGCGUUAUUUAAGAAACAAGAAGAAAGGGUGAAAGAAAGUUGGAGCGAAAGAGUACAACACGGUUCGCCACCACCUUCUGCCGGAGCCUCGUGGAGCUUUAGGUGUUUUCGCUCAAUAAACACACACAACGCCCGGUCUGGGAAUCGAAACCGCGAUCAUCCGACCGCAAGUCCACUGCCCUAACCACUGGACCAUUGCUUCUCCACACACACACACACACACACACACACACACACACACAUAUACAUAUAUAUAUAUUGUGUGUGUGUGUGUGAAUACAUGAGUAUAGUUUUAUGUAUGUGUGUACGUGUAUGUAUUGGUGUGUGUGUUUAGCUCACGUACGAAGUAUGUAAAUUAAGUGAUUUUUAUAAAAAUUUCACUCUCUGUUUCUGUGAAUUUCACUGAUGUCAAACAUAAGCAUUGUUCGUCGUGUGAACUUUGCGAGAAGUAGUAGCUACAAAUGUCCGUAAAAAACAUUCCUAUUGCUCUAAAUGUCCCACAUACAUUCAGUCGUGACUAUUUUAAGUAUCUCAGUUAUUUUGCGAUGUUUUUGUUUUCCGUAUGCCUGUAAACGAUAAGCGUAUUUCAAAAUGCGAUGAAUUUAUUCUCAUAAAACUUGCAUCAAACUGAGUUGUCUUUUGCGAGUUUAUACACAUACGCCAAUACAUGUGCGUUUUCGUGGCUGCGUGUGUGUGUGUGUGUGUGAGUGUGUGUUUGUGUGUAUAAGAUAAAAAAGACGACAAAGGAUUAAACGGUUAUCUUAUGAACUUUAUUAGCUUUUCGCUGUUUACACUUAGGUUCAAUGCAUCCCAUAGCGGAAACAGCUGUAAAGUAAUAAAGAUAAUCAGUUAUCCCUUUCUAUUCUCGUUUUUCUUGGAACCGCUAUAUACAUAUAUUGAGUUCAGCACCAGAUUAUUACUAUCGCAAUGCCUGAGCUAAGUAUAUAUAUAUUCUUCUUUCAUUUGUUUCAGUCAUUUGAUAGCAGCCAGACUGGAGCACCGCCUGUAAUCGAACAAAUCAACCUCUGGACUUAUUCUUUGUAAGCAUAGUACUUAUUCUAUCAGUAUCUUUUGCCGAACCGCUAAGUUACGGGUACGUAAACACACCAGCAUCGUUUGUCAAGCGGUGGUGGUGGCGGUGAUGGGAACAAACACAGACAUACAAACAUAUAUAUAUAUGUCAGAUGAGCUUCUUUCAGUUUCUGUCUACGAAAUCCACUCACAAGGCAUUGGUCGGCCCGAGGCUACUGUAGAAUACAUUUUCCCAAGGUGCCAUGCAGUGAGAUUGAACCCGGAACCAUAUGGUAGGUAAGCAAGCCACUUACCACACAGCUACCCCUGCUCCUAUAUAUAUAUAUAUAUAUAUAUAUAUAUAUAUAUAUAUAUAUAUAUUUCAUUAUUGUUAUUAUUAUUAUUAUUAUUAUUAUUAUUAUUAUUAUUAUUAUUAUUAUUAUUAUUAUCACCUUUUCUUUCAAACUUUUUCCCAGUCAUUUUUCCUUUUCCCGAGCGUCAAACUAAUACACUUGAUUGUCGUUCCUACACCUGUCCUCGUCUUUUGUUUUUCUAUAAAUUUCACCUGCCUUCGUCUUUUGUCUAUUUUCAUAAAGCUUCCCGUUAUAUAUAUAUAUAUACAUACAUAUAUAUAUAUAUAUAUAUAUAUAUAUAUAUAUAUAUAUAUAUGUACAUGUAUAUAUAUAUAUAUAUAUAUAUAUAUAUAUAUAUAUAUAUAUAUAUAUAUAUAUAUAUAUAUAUAUAUAUAUAUAUAUAUAUAUAUAUAACGGGAAGCUUUAUGAAAAUAGACAAAAGACGAAGGCAGGUGGAAAACAAACGAACAAUUGUAUUAGUAUGGCGCUCAGGAAAUAUAAAUAAAACAAGUCUUUAACGUUUCGAGCCUACGCUCUUCAACAGAAAGAUACACAGAGAGAAAAAAAACACAGAAAGAAGGAGAGAAAAAAAUGCGUGCAGUAGCUAACGAAUCAACAUGGCGAUCUGAUUUCGGCCAGAGGUCAAAGAUCAAACAUGAGACGCGAGAGCGAAAUAAGGGGAGAUAAUAGGGUUGAUAAUAGGGUUGAUAAUAGGGUUGAAGGACCAGCUAAGAGUGCGUAGGAGGGGUCUGGACGUGUGUAUGUAUCGGGUUGGUGUAUGUAUUAGUAUGUAUAAGGGUGUGUGUGUGUGUGUGUGUGUGUAUGAGAGAGUAUUAGUGCGUAGGAUUGGUCUGGACGUGCGUAUGUAUGGGGUUGGUGUAUGUAUUAGUAUGGCACAUCAUAUAUGAUGUGAUGUGUAAAGUCGUGUGGUGUAGUGAGGAGAAGAGGGGGAGGGGGAGAAGAGGGGGAGAAGGGGAGGGGAAGAAGAGGGGGAGGAGAGGGGGGAAGAGGAGAGGAUGGGGGAGAGAAAGGAGGGGGAGAAGGAAGGGGAGGAGGGGGAAGAAGGAGGAAAGAGGGAGAGGGGGAGAGAGAAGGGGAGUGAGGGAGUGAGGGAGCAGAGGGAAGGGGAAGAGGAAAGGAGGGAGGGAGAAAGAGGGAAGAAGGGAAGGGGAGUAGGGGUGAAAGGAUGAAGGACUGAAGAAGUAGGGGUCGGGGGGAAAGGAUAGGUGAGGAGGCGGGAGAGGGGGGUUAGAUGAGGAGGGGGGAGAGUUGAGACCAAAUGGCGUAUAAGAGCGAAGAGAGAAGAUUAAUUCCUGUUCACGGCGCAAACGGGAAUCCGGAUGGCCUCUGUGUAAGGACAAACCGAACACGGAUAGGUGUUGCAAGGAGUGACCGGUGGAGCGGAAAUGGCGUGAGACCGGUGUGUCGUUCGCAAGGUGGAUGUCACGAAGGUGUUCCGCGAACCGGUCAGCCAAGCGGCGUCCCGUUUGUCCGAUGUACAAGGAAUUGCAGUAUGUAUAUAUAUAUAUGUAUAUAUAUAUACAUAUAUAUAUAUAUAUAUAUAUAUAUAUGUGUGUGUGUGUGUGUGUGUGUGUGUGUGUGUGUGUGUGUAUGUGGAGAGAGAGAGAGAGAUGAGGAAGUCAGAAUUUUGGAUAAUCCUUAAACAGCGCUUUCGCUCUUUUAUGAACUUGUCAGGACAAAAUCAAAAUCAAAAUACGAAAAGACAGAAUAUUUCGUUUUUCAUUUAUAUGAAACGGUUGUUUUUUUUUUUCGUUUGUUUUAUUUAGAAGAGGAGAAUAUCGAUUUUUUUCUUGAAAAGGGGACAGAAAGAGAAAGAAAAGCAAAAUGCGGGGGGUAACAGAGAGAGAAAGAGAGAGAGGGAGAUUUCAGGUCAAUGAAGAAGGAGAAAAAAAUAAGGAUAAUAAUAAAGGAUAGGAAAAGGAGAAAUAGAUAAAAUAGAUAGAUAGAUAGAUAGGGAGAAAGAGAGAGAGGGAGCGAGUGAGAGGGAAAGAAAGAGAGAGGCUUCUUUUCAUUUUGGUGUGGUCAAUUCAUUGAAAUUUCAUUUCUUUUUUUUCUCAUUUCUUUCAUUUUUUUUUCUUUUUACAUUGCAUACUUAUUAACAUAUUUGUAAAUAAACACAUUUUCUCACAAGGGCUGGUGACCUUUCAAAUGUGCCAAUUUUAGGAAGUAGGAUGGAAGAAAUAAGAAAGGGGGAAGGGUGUGGUCAUCACUGCAAAAUAAAAAAAGAGUUCAAAAUCCUAUGAGAAUGUAUUUUCUUCUACAAUUUAUAGCCAGGUCCCAUAUUCUGUGUAAUUCUAUAUUUUGCAUGAACAAACACUAAAUAUUCAUAAAUAAGGAAAAUAAGGUCAGAAUCACGAAUUCCCUUGCCUGGUAGGUACAUUAGAUAUCUUUCCUAAAAAUGCUUAUAGUAUUCUGUAUUCUUUUUCAGGUAUUGUAACAUCUAUAAGAACAGUUGUCAAAAUCCUUUGUUAUAUAUAUAUAUAUAUAUAUAUAUAUAUAUAUAUAUAUAUAUAUAUAUAUAUAUAUAUAUAUAUAUAUAUAUAUACAUUAGACUCCUCACUCAUAUAUAUAUAUAUAUAUAUAUAUAUAUAUAUAUAUAUAUAUAUUGUGUGUAUGUGUGCGUGUGUAAGCAAAAUAUGAACCACUGCAUGAAUCCAUUCUUCCUAAAAAACUUACUAAAAAUGACGAUACCCAUCGUUCCACCACUAGAUGUGAUAACAUAAAUAUUGGAAGCUAACGCAUGAAAUAUGUAUGUCUAUGUAUGUAUAUAUAUACAUACAUAUAUAUAUAUAUAUAUAUAUAUAUAUAUAUAUAUAUAUAUAUAUAUAUAUACAUAUAUAUUUAUACAUAUACAAGAUAAGAAAAUGGAGAUAUACAUCUAAAUCAAAUAUCAAUUACCAGAUAAUACUCAAUCACAUACUUUAUUAAACCACCACAUAAGAGACUGUAGGGUUAAAUAUAAAAAGCAGGAAAAAUCAGUGUACAUAAAGGAAUGUACAUAAAAAAGUGUACAUAAAAGAGUAAUGUUGUAUAAUAAGUAGAAUAUAUAUAUAAAAGAGAAUAUAAAUACAAGUAUAAAUUAGAUCUUACAGCUGUUUCGGCCAUGUCGAUAAGUAUGUCUCAUUUUACCAUACAUGUAUAUAUAUAUACACAUAUAUAUAUAUAUACAUAUAUAUAUAUAUACACAUAUAUAUAUAUAUAUAUAUAUAUAUUUAUAUAUAUAAAUAUAUAUAUAUAUAUCCUUUCAUAUAUUUUUCUUUUCUACACUCUCUAUAUUAUUGCUCCUAUUUUACUCUUAUUACCUUCUUAUACACUCUUUAAUAGGAAUAACGUACUGUACUUACUGGUAACUGAUUCUAUAUAUAUAUAUAUAUAUAUAUAUAUAUAUAUAUAUAUAUAUAUAUAUAUAUAUAUAUAUAUAUAUAUAUAUAUAUAUAUAUAUAUAUAUAUAUAUAUACUCAAGCCAACUAUGGCGAAUAACAUUCUGGAUCUCUGCUUCACGAACAAUAUGGACAUCAUUCAUGAUGUGAAAGUGACAUCGACAUCAGUUUCGGAUCACAACAUAAUAGAGCUGUCUAUGUUUGGGCCAAAAGUAACCAGAGACAUACAGCCUAAAGGAAGCACCCGAAAUCUCUCCAAUGUGAACUUCCACAAAGCAGAUUGGAAAUCGAUCCAAAAAGAGAUGCUCAGAGAGGACUGGCCGGAAUGUCUCUCCACACCAGACAUUGACAUGAAACUAGAAUGUUUCAUGUCUUCUGUGCAAGCCGUAUGCCAGAAACAUGUCCCAGAGCACAAGGCCAAAACAAAUAGGAGCAUGAUUCCAAGAGACAGGAAGAUCCUCAUGAGACAACGGAUGUAAGUUGCAAAUCGUCUCAACCAACAUCCCAAAAGUAGCAAAACGUCCCGCCUAAAAACAACACUGAUGGAGAUCGAAAAAAGGCUGCAACAAUCCUAUGUGAAGGAGAAAGCAGACAAAGAAGUCUGGGUUAUAAAAAAUAUUAAAUCAAACCCAAAGACCUUCUUUCAUUACGCGAAAGAAACAGUCUCAGUGCACUACAAGAUAGGACCCCUCCUCCAAAAGGAUGGCUCCCUCACAGACAGUCCAACUAAGAUCAGUGAGAUGCUGAAUGACCAGUUCAAAAGUGUCUUUACCACCCCGUUGAAACACAGACAAGUGAACGAACCGGUGGACUUCUUUGCCGCCUCACCUAUAACCAGCGAGGCGGUUACAAUAGAAUGUAUUGACAUUAGCGAAAAAGAUGUCCUACUAGCCAUAGAUGAAGUGGACACAAAAUCAGUUGCUGGUCCAGAUGGUUUCCCAGCCAUCCUCCUCAAAGCGUGUAAGCAUGCCCUGGCAAAAUCCCUCAAGAUUCUCUUCCAGAGCUUUCUUGCGAAUGGCAAACUGCCAAGCAAGCUGAAGGAGGGAAUAAUAUGCCCAAUACAUAAAGGCGGAAGUAGAGCAGAUGCCAAAAACUAUAGGCCUAUCUCUCUGACUUCACACAUCAGCAAAGUCACGGAACGGAUAGUCAGAAAGAAACUAAUCGCAUUCCUUGAGGAAAAUAACUUGCUGAGUGAUACCCAGCAUGGUUUUCGACUAGGUAGGAGCUGCCUGAUCCAGCUUUUACAGCAUUAUGACUGGGUGUUGGGGCAGUUAUUCAACAAACCAAAUGUGGACGUAAUCUACCUUGAUUUUGCAAAAGCUUUUGACAAGGUGGAUCAGGGUAUGAUAUGCCACAAACCGCGUGACCUCGGCGUAGCUGGGAAACUUGGAGUGUGGUUGCAUGACUUCCUGAAAGAUAGGAGUCAGGCAGUAGUGUUUAAUGGAGCCACCUCUAUGAACACACAAAUAGUGAGCGGUGUUCCACAGGGCACUGUCUUGGGACCACUGCUUUUUAUAGUGGCCCUCUCAGAUAUGCCCUCAAAUGCCCGGAUAGCAACUCUGGCCAGGUAUGCAGACGAUACGAAAGUCUCGCAGAAAAUACAGAACCCCAGCGAUGUUGCACACCUGCAGCAGGAGUUGGACUCAAUCUAUAGAUGGGCUGAGGAUAAUAAUAUGCAGUUUAAUGCUGAAAAAUUCCAGGCCCUGCGCUACCAGCAUCCAAAACUGAAUAUUAAACUUACAGGAUACACCGGUCCUCAGGGAAUUUCAAUCCCAGAGCCUAAGUCUGAGAGGUACCUGUGUAUCGACAUGAGUGAUGAUAUCUCUUUCCAAGUGCACAUUACCAGGAUGGCGACAAAGUGCAGACGACUGGCUGGGUGGAUCCUAAGAACAUUCAGAACCAGAGAUAAGGAAACCAUGAUGGUCCUCUGGCGGACAUUCGUCCUCAGGCGCCUGGAUUACUGCUAACAGCUAUGGUCACUCACCAGAGUAAAAUUAACAGCGGACCUUGAAGCAAUCCAGAGAAGAUUCACAAAGAAGAUCGUCUCUUUGCAACAGCUCAGCUACUGGGAAAGGUUGAAACAGCUAAGACUCUACUCCCUGGAGAGAAGACGGGAGAGGUAUGCAGUAAUAUAUGUCUGGAAGAUCCUGGAAGAAAUUGUGUCAAAUUUUGGCAUUGUAAGCUACACCAAUGCUAGAACGGGACGACACUGCAUAGUGCCAAAGAUCCCAGCAAUGCCAUCACGCUUCAGGACCAGCUUCUGCAACAGCCUGGGUUUCAAGGGCCGACAGCUUUUUAAUAUUGUUCCAAAGAGUCUGAGAAACUUGCACAAAGUAGAUGUAGCGGUUUUUAAAUCAAAGCUGGACAUCUUUCUGUCAAGAGUGCCAGAUGAACCUACCUCACGGCAAGAGGUGCAAAUGAGAGUAGCUAUAUCAAACUCCAUUCUUCAUCAAGUGCCACAUAUUAGACGAGGUUCGUCGUAAUAAUAGUGUAGCACAAAACGGCGGUGCAUCAGCAUGGCCGCAGCUCUGAGCUGAAACUAGAAAAAACAAAAAACAAAAAACAAUAUAUAUAUAUAUGACUGUGUAUAUGUAUAUUUAUAUAUACAUGCAUUAGAGACACACCCAAUAUCCUAAUUUUUAUCUACCGAUCACUACAGAACACUGAAGAGAUGAAAAUAUCAUGUAGGGUAUUGUGACCACGUGGCAGAAACGGCCGUAUAAACUGUUCUUCUUCUAUUCUAUAAAUUACUGGUACGUAUGCAUGUAAUACGCAGUCUAUGCAUAUGUAUAUAUUCUCAUAAAUGUUUUAGAAUGAAUAAAUAAAUAGACAUAACAGUUGAUGUAUACUAUUUCUGUAUCCCCUCUAUUUUCUUCUUGCCGUAUAAAUUAAGGGUAAACCUCUUUUUACCCUCGCCCAUUUAUUACGCUCAUUAGUGAAAUUGCCACGCAAUAACCAGCACUUGGGUAUUAAUAAUUGGGUACACUAGCAGCAGUAUACUGGAUAGUAACCCAUGAAUAGGUUAGCAUAUGAGGGUGAAAACCUCGUCCCCAUAGCCGUGCUAUUUAUUUGUCGAUAUGUUUUAUUAUCGAAUCUGAAGGUGUUUUCUUCUAGUAACAUGUGUGUGACUUUCGUGAUGAAGUUUUGAAGCGUUUAUUUAUCUGUCGUCUAUGUUUCUCUAUGCAGUGUUUGACUGAUUCCAUCCUUUCCCCAUCCUUUAUUAUUAUUUUUUUUACUCCUCUUUCUUGGUUGUCCUGAAACCUCUCUAUCGAUCUACUUUUACCUCGACUUUGCUUUUUCUUCUCUGACUCUCCAUUUUUUUCAAUAUAUAUAUAUAUAUAUAUAUAUAUAUAUAUAUAUAUAUAUAUAUAUAUAUAUAUAUAUAUAUAAAUUCAGGGUGAAUACUUGAUAAAUGUAAGCACCUGUAUAUGCCAGCUAGUAGCAGAGGUGAGAGGAUAUAUGUAUCAAAUGAAAUAAAAAACAGAACACAAAGGAUGUCGCGCUACACGUGUUUGAAGCUUUAUAAAACAACUUAUUCUUACAUCAAUGUAUAAUCGACAUAACAGAUGGUUUAAAGCUCUCUUUAGCCGCAUGCAAUUGCUAUACCAAAGACCUGUAUCACAUUAUGAAAAGUCCGAAAAGGAACAUUUGGUAUUAUCUAUAAUGGUAGGUAUAUUGAGUUUUCUGAGAAAGUAUAUUUGUAAAUCUUCAUAAUCAAAUAGGUUUGCAGGGUAUUAUUGGACUUCGAAAAUCCGUCCAUACUGUAUCAAAUAUAUAUAUAUAUAUAUUCUCCCCUUCUAAACAAAAUUUUUAAAAAAACAUACAAAUCAUAAAUAAACAACCAAACGUUCUGUUUUGAACAUCUUGAUUUUGAUGUUGUUGUGACAACUUCGUAAACGAACGAAAAGUGCUAAUUUCGGAUUAUCCAAAAUUCUGACUGCCUCCUUUUUCUCCAUAUACAGUAUCUGUACACCACUUCAAACAUUCUACACACACACAUACAUAUAUACGUACGUAUAUGUAUGUGUGUGUAUGUGUUUUAACUAAAAUGGAGGCGAACACCAUUCCUUCAUGUGACUGGCUUGAAAAAUUGUUAAGAUAUUAAAAUAUUUUUCUUAACACGAAACAAAUGAUACCCUUAAUACACAAGUUAAGAAUUUCUAUCCAACAAUACGGUGUUGAGCACUCAUUUUUGAUCGUUCGACACAUAUAUAUAUAUAUAUAUAUAUUUAUGUAUAUAUAUACAUUAAUCAAAGGACACGUUAAAGUGUCUAUCCGCUAGAAAUAAGAGUUAAAACCCUCAUUUGGACCACCCAAAAUUAUUAACACUGAAAGCAGAGGUCCAAAUGAGGAUUUUAACUCUUAUUUCUAGCGGGUAGACAUUUUAAAAUGUCCUUUGAUUAAUCUAAUUUUAAUUCUACAGGUAUAUAAUGCCACUUUAGGCCUACAACAACCUAUACUCAUAUUGUUGUUAUUAUAAACUAUUUGUAUUGACUUCGAUAAUAAUAAAAUUAAUAUCGAUAUAAAUAUUCGUUUAUAUAUAUAUAUAUAUACAUACAUAUACAUAUAUGACCCACUCAGCUGUAAAGUCUAAUCAAAUAAAACGGAAACUUAACAUACAAAGUGUUAAAUACUAGCUGCUUAUCGUGCAUGCAAUUUAUAUUUAGAUUAUACUUUCUUCCGGUAAUUUCAUCAUUUAGAACCGUUAAUCCUUGCAUAUUUUCUCUCUCACUGUUUUCCCCCCCUCUCAAACCUCUCUGGCUAAGAGCGUAUGCUCGAAACUUCUAAGACUUUUCCAUUCCUCCUGAGCGUUAAACUCAUACACUUCCUUGUUUUUCCUUCACCUGUCUUCGUCUUUUGCUUUCUGUAAAUUUGAACAAUAUAUAUAUAUAUAUAUAUAUAUAUAUAUAUAUAUAUAAACAGUAACAACAGACGAAUUGUGGUUCAUUACAGCUGUUUCAGACGCGUUGAAGUGAAGUGUUACAUCAUGCAAAGAAAAUAACAACUACAGGUUAGAAUUAACAAUUAAAACUUCUCAAGAACAUGUAUGUAGUACCAGAAGAUUCUACCGACCCAAACUGAAUAUAUGUUGCAAGUUGAACAGUUGUUUCCGCUAAGUCUCUGAAAUUAUACAUAGAGGCUUUAAAGGAAACAUUCAAAGACUAUGUACCUUUUCUGAAAUUAGUUGUUUUUCAUCAUCUAACUGAAUGCCUACAAGUAUUUUCUACCUCCAUGCAUAGCAACAAGCAACAGGUACUGAUCAGUAAUAUAAUUAAUUGAGAAUUAUUGUGGAAAUUGGUACAAUCUUUUCAAAAAGCGAUAUAGUUUUAGCUGAACCGAUAUUAAAGACAGGUGCGUAAUUUUAAGUGUGUGUGUGUGUAUGCAUUAAGAAAAAAUACGUAGUCAGAAUUUUUGAUAAUUCUAUAUUAACGCUGGAGUCUCAUUCAUCAAAUCCGUUUUCCAGAAAAUGUUUUUGCAUCUUACACAAAUCUGGAGGAGAAGGAUGUUUUGUUUGUUUUGUUGACUAUCUAUCUAUCUAUCUAUCUAUCUAUCUAUCUAUCUAUCUAUCUAUCUAUCUAUCUAUCUAUCUAUCUAUCUAUCUAUCUAUCUAUCUAUCUAUCUAUCUAUCUAUCUAUCUAUCUAUUAAUCUAUUUAUCUAUCUAUCUAUCUAUCUAUAUAUCUAUCUAUCUAUCUAUCUAACUAUCUAUUUAUCGAUGAACACACGCACACACACGCACACAAAUACGCACACACACACACACACAAACACACAAACACACAUAUAUACAACGAAAGUGGUUAUACGCAAUAUAAAACCAAGAACGAAAAAUUCAAUUGUCCCUAAUUGUGACUGGGUGUGCAGUGUAGGCGCUACAUUGCUAGAAAUAAAAGUCAAAUACCCUUAGUGUCCUAUUUUCCUGAACCAUCCAUUGAUUCAUAUAGCAAAUACUACAUACUGACAGUUAGACUUAGCCAACCAAUCCAGCGAUAGAUUAGUCACCAUUGAUGAACUUUAAUUUCAAGCAUAACUAGACUAGUAUGGUGGUCUCACUCGCUGUUGGGUGAUUAUCUCCCCUGCCAGUGCUUAGAUAUGUGUCGUUUGCGGCUCUAAGGGUCUUUGGCAAUUAUACACACACACACGCGCACACACAUGGAAACAGAAGGAGAAAGAGAGAGGAAGAAAUAAAGAAAGAGAGAGAGAGCCAGAUAGACAAACAUAGGGACAGACAGACAGGGAGUUCAUGGUGUGCUUCUAAUUAUCAUUGUGUUUAUAUUAACACAGUUAAUAUAAAUUCAAUGCCUUUGUAGAUCGAAUAUUUCUUACAUCGGAUUAUAGCUCCAGCUUACUCCGUUCCAUUAGGAGAAAUUUCCUGCCUUUUUCCUUGGAAAAUUCUUAGACGAGGCUGGUUGCCUGGUCGGCUGGCUCGCUUGCUGAUGGAGCGGGACGUAGAUGGGUUGCUAUUUAUGAAUCUUGUUCUACAUGUCUUAGGAGUUUGUGUACGUGAUUAUAACAAACGGUCGCAAUUGAUUUGGAUGCUUACGUUUAUCGUCAAGAUUCAAAAAGACCUAUAAUUCAGUUGUUGUUGGCAAUAAUAAAUUUGCUUUCACGACGGUACUUAGAAUUUAGUUCUGAAUUUUUGCUGAAAAUGUCUGCUGAUUUGUAAGGAUGAAGUAUUUUCAUCAUUACAGAAGUUACAGAAAUUUAAACAACGGAUACACUCGUUUGCGGCUAGCAGGAGAGAUCAGGUGAUGCUGCGGUCUUUCAAGUACCUUAUGUUAAGGAUUCUGUAGCCCACAAUCACGUAUUUGAAGUAGGCUACAAUCAUGCACGAGUUUUCAAGUACCAUAUAUGCUGAAUCAUUUCUUUUGUCUGUAUGCCUAAAAGUAGAAUUAUACUUUAUAAACUUGCUUUUGAAGCUACCCUCUGAUAUUCUGACAUAGUGUUGUAGGAGGAUGCUAAGUAGGUUUAUGUUUCAGCAUUACAUACCUAGUUCAAGGGGCACAUAUUAUUAUUUCAAGUAUUGUAGUUAUCUCUUAUGCUUUGUAAGUCAACGGGAUUAUUCAAAUAAUUCUUCGCAGAACUGUUUUUCUGGUUAUUGACCGAGUAGGUGGUUUGGAGUGCCUAUAAACUUUCACCACAACGCAAUGCAAUAAUAUAUAUAAAUAUAUAUAUGAAGGAGGGAAUAAUAUGCCCAAUACAUAAAGGGGGAAGUAGAGCAGAUGCCAAAAACUAUAUGCCUAUCUCUCUGACUUCACACAUCAGCAAAGUCACAGAACGGAUAGUCAGAAAGAAGCUAAUCGCAUUCCUUGAGGAAAAUAACUUGCUGAGUGAUACCCAGCAUGGUUUUCGACCAGAUAGAAGCUGCCUGACCCAGCUCUUACAACAUUAUGACUGGGUGUUGAGGCAGUUAUUCAACAAAUCAAAUGUGGACGUAAUCUAUCUUGAUUUUGCAAAAGCUUUUGACAAGGUGGAUCAUGGUAUGAUAUGCCACAAACUUCGUGACCUCGGCAUAACUGGAAUACUUGGAGUGUGGUUACACGACUUCCUGAAAGAUAGGAGUCAUGCAGUAGUGGUUAAUGAAGCCACCUCUAUGAACACACAAAUAGUGAGCGGUGUUCCUCAGGGCACUGUCUUGGGACCACUGCUUUUUAUAGUUGCCCUCUCAGAUAUGCCCUCAAUUGCCCGGAUAGCAACUCUGGCCAGCUAUGCAGACGAUGCGAAAGUCUCACAGAAAACACUGAACUCCAGCGAUGUUGCACACCUGCAGCAGGAGUUGGACUCAAUCUACAGAUGAGCUGAGGGUAAUAAUAUGCAGUUUAAUGCUGAAAAAUUCCAGGCCCUGCUCUACCAGCAUCCAAAACUGAAUAUUAAACUUACAAGAUACACCGGUCCACAGGGAAUUUCAAUCCCAGAGCCUAAGUCUGUGAGGGACCUGUGUAUCGACAUGAGUGAUGAUACAUCUUUCCAAGUGCACAUUACCAGGAUGGUGACAAAGUGCAGACGACUGGCUGACAUUCGUCCUCAGGCGCUUGGAUUACUGCUCACAGCUAUGGUCACCCACCAGUGUGAAAUUAACUGCGGACCUUGAAUCAAUUCAGAGAAAAUUCACAAAGAAGAUCGUCUCUUUGCAACAGCUCAGCUACUGGGAAAGGUUGAAACAGCUAAGACUCUACUCCCUGGAGAGAAGACGGGAGAGGUAUGCAGUAAUAUAUGUCUGGAAGAUUCUGGAAGGAAUUGUGCCAAAUUUUGGCAUUGUAAGCUACACUAAUGCUAGAACAGGACGACACUGCAUAGUGCCAAAGAUCCCAGCAAUGCCAUCACGCUUCAGGACCAGCUACUACAACAGCCUGGGUUUCAAGGGCCGACAGCUUUUUAAUAUUGUUCCAAAGAGUCUGAGGAACUUGCACAAAGUCGAUGUAGCGGUUUUUAAAUCAAAGCUGGACAUCUUCCUGUCAAGAGUGCCAGAUGAACCUACCUCACAGCAAGAGGUGCAAAUGAGGGUGGCUAUAUUAAACUCCAUUCUUCACCAAGUGCCACAUAUUGGCGGAGGCUCUUAGUAAUAACAGUGUAGCACAAAACGGCGGUGCAUCAGCAUGGCCGCAGCUCUAAGCUGAAACAAGAAAAACGAAAAACGAAAAACGAAAUAUAUAUAUAUAUAUUUCUGGUGCAUUGUAUUUUGUAUUAUUUAUUCUAGGGGCCUUGUAUGUCCAUUUUUUUCGAUUUUCGCCUCUACACUUCCAUACACUGACAAAUUUCUAUUCUUAUAAAUCCUAACUUAUAUUCUUAUUUGUUACAGUCAUACCAAUUUGUAUUUUGCAUUGUUUAUAUGUAGCUAAUACUUAGAUUUCUGAAAUAACACGCGAACUUGGCAACUUAUGUUUAUCAGCUUUUUAAGAGUUCAGUACAGAAAUCACAUGACUAGUGGAAAUAUCAACGGUUGCAGCAUUUUCAUUUUGAUAUCUUUUUGUAUCGAUGGGUGUUUCCAAAUGCAGUUUGAAGUUAUAACAACAAAUUUUUAACUUGUAAUUCCUAUUUUUAUCUCAUUGUUUGAAUGGAAUUAAUUUCUAAUAUUGCUCCUAAGCUACCAAAAUUUGUACCCCACUUUAACAGUUCCGUUACCAAUUAUUGUGGGAUUAUCUUGAUCUCAUAUUCCUGAGAUAAUCGUUGAUUUAAUCUCGUCAAAAUUAACAAAUUAAUCAUACUUCUCUUUUAUAUCACUUUUAAUUAAUUCAUAAAAACUCUCACUUCGUCUGAGCUACCGGCAAUUACAAACAUUAUCAAUGAUUUAACUGACAUCUCUAAUCAUUGUUCCAGGAAUAUUAACACUUCUUCGAAGCAUUCCGGAAAUUUCGUCUUCCCAAUUGUUGCAUAGCUCUUAAACAGAGAAGGGCAAAGGACACAGUUUUGUCUUACACCUGUUCAAUUACCGAGGAAAGUAUUUUCUUUUAUAUAUCAUAGUAUCAUAAAAUUAUGUUGAUAUUUCAUAUUAUAUAUUUUAUAUUCGA